GGACGAACGCUGGCGGCGCGCCUAACACAGGCAAGUCGAACGAGCGAGAGAGAGCUUGCUUUCUCGAGCGAGGGGCGAACGGGGGAGUAACGCGGGAGGAACCUGCCUCAAAGAUGGGGACAACAGUUGGAAACGACGGCUAAUACCGCAUAAGCCCACGGCUCGGCAGCGAGCGGGGGGAAAAGGAGCAGUCCGCUUUGAGAUGGCCUCGCGUCCGAUUAGCUGGUGGGUGGGGUCUCUGCCCACCAAGGCGACGAUCGGUGGCCGGACUGGGAGGCUGCACGGCCGCAUUGGGACUGCGACCCGGCCCAGACUCCUACGGGAGGCAGCAGUAGGUAAUAUUGCGGACGGGGGCAAAACCUGAUGACGCGGCGCCGCGUGGAGCAAGCAGGUCUUCGGAUUCCAAACUCCUGUUGUUGGAGAAGAUAAUGACGGUACCCAACAAGGAAGUGCCGGCUAACUACGUG
rnacentral:rRNA from 1 species